rnacentral:lncRNA from 1 species
GAAAAUGAACAUGUUUUGAUUAUAUCUUUAAUAUCUGAGAAGCAAAGCAAAACAAUAGGAAUCAACCAAGCAUUUUUAGAGCAAACUGAGACCAGCAGCAGUUUCAGCUUAUUUAAUGUUUAACAUGUACGUUUUUCAUUUGUGCACCUAGAUUGUAGUAACUGUAAUAGUUAAUUAAAAACAUGUACGAUGUUUUUCUGCAGAUCAUGCUCAGCUGAAACAUUCUUUUACAUCUCAGCAAUGCUAAAACAUUUUUAUUGCCCUUGUUUUCAGGAGUGCACUUUCUUUAAAGAGGAGAUUUAUACGUGUAAAGGAAAAAAGUUAGGAACAAUGAAACUGUUUUUUGCCUGGACUUGAAAGUAAGUGUUCCUGUGCUAUACUGGUAUAACGUUUUGGAGAAUUUGAAGUCUAUCAGGCUCUAUUUUCUAUCCUUAAAAAACAUAAAACUGAGACAGAAUGAUGGAAUCCUCAUGCUGAAAUGUAAUUAUGCAGAAUCGUAGAAACAAAUAAUAUCCAACCUUUACACAAUUAUCUAUCCUAUCCUAAGAAUUUAUGUAAAUGAAAAUCUAUUGUAUAAACGAGAGUGUCUUAUGUAAAUAUAGACCCACGUGAUAGUUUUAACACAUUCACACAAAUAGUAUAUGCUGCCAUGUAGAGUGGGUCACUGCUUAUAUUUUUGACAGUGUAGAUUUAAAUAGCUAUCAGAUAAAUAUGAAAUCUAAUAUACAGAUUAUAUCUAAUAUUUAUUGCUUUGAUACAGAAUAUUAUAGAAAUAUAGAAUACUACUGUAGACAGUUUGCCCUUCAGCAAUCAGUGUAGGCCAGCACCUUCCUUCAGGGAAGUGAAAUGUUAGGUUAACUGGGCCAAAUUCUGAUGAUGCCUGUGAUGCUUUUAUUCUUGAUACAGAGCAGUGUAUACUGAUGUACAGCUGAAUGCAGAAUUUUCCUCACUGUUUAUAUUAAGAUAGAAGUUGUUUAAAUUUUAGGUCAAUCCUAGUUUUAUUUAUAUUUGCGUUAAAUGAUUAAAUAGAUCCAGAUCAACGGAUGUAGCCCAUGUAAGAUAUGAACAGUCACCUGGAGAGGCAAGUUUUUCUCCUGGUCCCAGAGGGAGCCUCUAAUCUUGAGGCUGCUGUCUCAGUGAUUUGGCUAGGUUUCUAAAGCCAAGUAGUAUGAAUCCAAGCCACUGCCUUAAGAUCUCAUGGUGGUAUUCGGAUCUCAUCCACCAGACCAAUAUGCUUGUCUGUCGUGCUCUGUCACAUGAAGGCCCACAAGUAGUGGAGUCCAUUGAAAACUGGCAGAAUAUUAACCUGCCUUGAAUAACAAACAGUAAACAUUUCUGCUGCUGGGGCAUUAUGAAACUGCCAAAAGAACAGAGCUUUCUAUGCUUCUCUGAUUUCUAAUCCGUCUGUUGCCUCCAGCAAUGUGGUAUCCAGGUUUGUUUUGUGGUUGGAGAUAGGCAUUCUUUUCCUAUUGAUGGAGCCUGGCAUGCUCUGUCAACCACACAAAACUUACUUUUUUUCAAAGAGCAGCUAGAGAUUCUUAAUAGUAUGUCAAAAAGAUGUUGUUAAAAUAAUUAUCUAAAAUCCUAGUAUCUUGAGGUCAACUCCUCUCAGAUUUCCUUCCCAGCUGACUGUCAUUUAGUUGCUGUAAAGAACAGGCCCUAGUAAAAAAAAAAGUAUUGAAGGAAUCUUUUCAUAAUUUUACCUGAGAUACACACAUAAAGUCCAGAAUUUGAUUGCUCUAUAUUUCUGAUGGAGUACAGAUGCACCAAGUUUCUUAUUAAAUGAGCUGACUGAAGAAUAUUUAGUUCUUUCCAUUUCUUAGUCAGUAGAUAUCUUCCUGUAAUAGGGCGGCAGCAGCCUUAUACGUAGUUCAGGAAUUCAAGUGGAGCAGCAAGUGUUGUAUAAUGUCCAAAUCUACUUCGACUGACUGUGGACCAAGUUGCCGAUCAGCAUAUCUCCAUGUGAACCAGUGGCGUUAAAUCAACAGAGGGUUUGGUCCUUUCUGUUUUACAGAGGGUUACAGUACUUGUGAAUGGUUUGCAUUCAGGCAGACUAUAUUGAUUGAGGUAAAUGCUACUCAGUUGACUUUUGUUCUUAAUUUCUGAAAGUGUGUUUUUAAAUUCAUGUUUCAGAUUAAUUUAGCAGACACCUUGCUGCAAGCGACAGUCACAUAAAGCAAAAUGACUUUUAAAAGUAAUGGGAUUUAUUUCAUUAGAGAAAGAUAUAUAUGAUAUUUAAUAAACUGGAUACUAGCUUUAGGUCUAGUUUUUGUUGUUCCUGUCUUCCUAUCAAAACAGCUUUCAUGAAUGGCCUGUGUGUGUGCCAAGCACGCAAAAAAGAACAGUGCCUUGAAUAACUCUUGCAAGAUUUUCUACACUAUUAUCUAAUAGACUUUUGUCAUUUUCCUAUAAGAAUUAGUGUAGGGUUUCUUUUUACAGUGAGAAGUACAAUUAAAAGCUGAAGAAAUCCUUUGUAGAAAGUUAAAAUUAGCUUAAAUUAAGGUCUUUCAUUUUGAUGUCUCACAUGAAAAAUGGAGAUAGCAGCACCAAAAUUCCCAAAUUAUGUGUACCUCAGCAUCCACAAUUUUUCCAAAGAUGUUUUGAGUCAUUUAGUAGUUACUAGGGCUGAUUUUACAUAUUUUGGCAAUAUCUUCUGUAUGAGUGUUUCUUUUCCAGUAAUGAGAUUUUCUUUUCUGUCUAACAGUUUAAUACUACACACUCUGCAACAAUGUAUGUUUCACUGUAAUAUUUGGUUCUCAAUUUCAAUAUCAAACUAAUGAAAAAAUAGAAUAUUUGCAAAAUCUGCUUCUUAACAUGUGUAUCUGAAAGUAAGGGUUAGUUUAAAUUAAGCUGCAUUGCUUUCAGCUGAAGAGUUAGCUUUCACAGAAUGUAUUUUAUGUACCCUGUAAGUAAGAGACACCAUUGCUGAAUUUUUCCUGUGCUUUUUCUGAAACCUUUAUUAUGAUCCACAAUAAAAUUUGCACCUGAAAAAUCAA